UGAAAUCAUUGAUCAAUUCCGAUCUAGCUUUAUUGGAUGUAAUCAACAAUUUGUUAGUUGAGGUGGAAAUUAUUCGAAUGAAAAUGGAUCACAUUUUAUCAUCUCAGCAUAAGCAGUUUAAUUCUCGGAAAUAUUUGGAUAUAUUUAAACCAUCAGAUUGGAUAACAGCAAAACAUGAUAAACCUGUUUAUUUUCAAAACAUAACGCCGUAUUCAAAUAUCGGAAAUACAAAAUAUCAUUGCAAAUUCUAAAAUAGCUAAAUAUUACAUUGAAGGAAACAUCACUGUAAAAAGUAAUCAAUGCCUUUGUGCGUUUCUUUCUGAAAUAAAAUUAAUAGAUUGUAAAAAAGAA